ACUGCCAUUUGUAACUCUGCGGUCAAUCCUUCUCCUGCGUUGUCUCCCCUGUGUGUGUUUACUCUCCCUGAAUGGCACAGCUUGUGGACAGAUUUAGCUGGCUGAAUAGUGCGCAUUUUCAAGUCAAUUUAGCUAAUCUAUCUCGCUUUUAUUGCCUCAGCGCCAGACGAAGCGCCGACAAUCCUCUCUGUUACGCCGCACACAACCACGUCGGUGCUGAUCCGCUGGCAGCCACCUCCUGAGGAGAAGAUCAAUGGAAUUUUACUGGGAUUUCGGAUUCGCUACCGUGAGCUGCUGUAUGACCGUCUCCGAAACUACAUUCACACACUGAACAGCCUUUCCUCAUGGGCCGAGCUGAACGCCCCCUACACCAUCCGGAACCUCAGCGAUCCGACUAUCAGUCAGUACGAGCUUGACA